rnacentral:rRNA from 1 species
GGCCGCGGGAAUUCGAUUCAGGCUUUUCUCACCCCCGUCGAGCGGUAGAGAGAAGCUUGCUUCUCUUGAGAAAGGCGGACGGGUGAGUAAUGCCUAGGAAUCUGCCUGGUAGUGGGGGAUAACGUUCGGAAACGGACGCUAAUACCGCAUACGUCCUACGGGAGAAAGCAGGGGACCUUCGGGCCUUGCGCUAUCAGAUGAGCCUAGGUCGGAUUAGCUAGUUGGUGAGGUAAUGGCUCACCAAGUUUUU